rnacentral:rRNA from 1 species
GAUGAACGCUGACAGAAUGCUUAACACAUGCAAGUCUUUGGCGAAGCUGUGCUUGCACAGCCUGGCCAAGGCGGACGGGUGAGUAACGCGUAAGGAACUUGCCCUGCAGUCAGGGAUAACAGACGGAAACGACUGAUAAGACCUGGUAAAGUCAGGCGGACUCAUGUCCAGCCUGAUGAAAAGAGAUGCUGCAGGAGAGCCUUGCGUCCUAUUAGCUUGUUGGUGGGGUAACGGCCCACCAAGGCGAUGAUAGGUAGCCGGCCUGAGAGGGUGGACGGCCACAAGGGGACUGAGAGACGGCACUUACUACUACGGGAGGCAAGAGUGGGGAAUAUUGGACAAUGGGGGCAACACUGAUCCAGCAAUUCUGUGUGCACGAUGAAGGUUUUCGGAUUGUAAAGUGCUUUCAGCAGGGAAGAAAAAAAUGACGGUACCUGCAGAAGAAGCGACGGCUAAAUACGUG